rnacentral:rRNA from 1 species
AUGAACGCUGGCGGCGUGCCUAAUACAUGCAAGUCGAGCGAACGGACGAGAAGCUUGCUUCUCUGAUGUUAGCGGCGGACGGGUGAGUAACACGUGGAUAACCUACCUAUAAGACUGGGAUAACUUCGGGAAACCGUAGCUAAUACCGGAUAAUAUUUUGAACCGCAUGGUUCAAAAGUGAAAGACGGUCUUGCUGUCACUUAUAGAUGGAUCCGCGCUGCAUUAGCUAGUUGGUAUGGUAACGGCUUACCAAGGCAACGAUGCAUAGCCGACCUGAGAGGGUGAUCGGCCACACUGGAACUGAGACACGGUCCAGACUCCUACGGGAGGCAGCAGUAGGGAAUCUUCCGCAAUGGGCGAAAGCCUGACGGAGCAACGCCGCGUGAGUGAUGAAGGUCUUCGGAUCGUAAAACUCUGUUAUUAGGGAAGAACAUAUGUGUAAGUAACUGUGCACAUCUUGACGGUACCUAAUCAGAAAGCCACGGCUAACUACGUG